AGGAUGAACGCUGGCGGUCUGCUUAACACAUGCAAGUCGAACGGGCGUAGCAAUACAUUAGUGGCGGACGGGUGAGUAACGCGUGAGAAUCUACCUUCAGGACGGAGACAACAGUUGGAAACGACUGCUAACCCCCGAUGUACUGAAAAGGCAAAUAUUUAUAGCCUGAAGAAGAGCUCGCGUCCGAUUAGCUAGUUGGAGAGGUAAAAGCUCACCAAGGCGACGAUCGGUAGCUGGUCUGAGAGGACGAUCAGCCACACUGGGACUGAGACACGGCCCAGACUCCUACGGGAGGCAGCAGUGGGGAAUUUUCCGCAAUGGGCGAAAGCCUGACGGAGCAAGACCGCGUGGGGGAAGAAGGCUCGUUGGGUUGUAAACCCCUUUUCUCUGGGAAGAAGUUGUGAAAGCAGCCUGACGGUACCAGAGGAAUCAGCAUCGGCUAACUCCGUGCCAGCAGCCGC
rnacentral:rRNA from 1 species